GAGAGAAUCAAGCAAAUAUGAUCUGCAGGUAGUCCUCGCUCUCUUGGCCGCCGUGGCCACCGCCGGCUAAGUUUAUGAGAGCUCACAGGUUCGCUUUGCUUUCCUCGAGGUGAUGGCCAUCCUCAGGGGCGGCUGCGUAAUGAGGACGGCGGGAUGUAGAACUUAAACGACGAGAACAGUCAAGGGCGUCGUCUUGUCUGUGUCGGGCCCCCCUGAUGGUCUCGAGGGUGCCAUCAACAGUGCCACAUACCGCUCCUGACGGCACUCUCGUGGCCGACGAGACCGUCUAUCAGCCUCAGCCCGACCUCCUGCCCGUGGCUCCUGGGUGACCCGACCCGAUCCCGACCAGAUCGCCUUCGCCGCUGAGGAGAACGCCGCCCGCGGUGACCUCAGGGGGCGCCAUCCGUCCAUCCAACAGAUAUGGAGCUCCCUAGAAAGCAGAUAUGCUAAAGAUAUUUCGGAUUUUCAUGUUUAAGGGUUUUCAUAAUGCGAUACUGCAUGUGUAUUGACUCUUCUUAUGAUAAAUAAUCUUUAAUGUACAACAGAAUAAAGCUAUAAUGAAUAAAGUUGUGUUAUAUUCUCGUACUGUAAUUA